rnacentral:rRNA from 1 species
ACGGAGGGAGCUAGCGUUAUUCGGAAUUACUGGGCGUAAAGCGCACGUAGGCGGCUUUGUAAGUUAGAGGUGAAAGCCUGGAGCUCAACUCCAGAAUUGCCUUUGAUACUGCAUGGCUUGAAUCCAGGAGAGGUGAGUGGAAUUCCGAGUGUAGAGGUGAAAUUCGUAGAUAUUCGGAAGAACACCAGUGGCGAAGGCGGCUCACUGGACUGGUAUUGACGCUGAGGUGCGAAAGCGUGGGGAGCAAACAGG